CCCUAGUCCACUAUGAAUUGAUUAGUUAAAGAGUUCUGACAUAUUGACAUGUACAUAGCUGAAGGGUUAAAGCUAACCAUCAGUAAUAAUACUAUCCAACAUACAAAGAAUUACCCAGAGGGAAUAAUAAGAAACUACACAAAUACAAAAGAACCCGUUACAACUUCUUAUGCAUCCUACAUUCAGGGGAGUUGUGUCGCAAAGGUGAUAGUGGUCGUCUCACUGAAUCUAUAUCUUUUAAGUCAAUCUUCAUCUUGACUGGGCUACUCAUCUUUGGACUUGAUUUUCGCUUGUUCCUCUACAACAGAUUCAGGCAAAUUACACGACAGAGUUAAAUGAAACCAAAUGGCCAGAAGCCAUUUGUGUAUAUACACUUACACAGAGAAGUCUUAUCGGCAUGCAAUACAAUGCAAGCACACAUUGACACAGGCAAGGAAACGAAAAACACACACACUCACAAAGCAUAAUAAAUUAUUCUUCAUUAUUUAUUAUUUGAUUCAUUUUAAUCUUACCUUGGCAGAUGCGCUGCUGGUAUGUUUUCCACCAGAACCAUCAAGGUUAUGUUCUUGGUGAUGCUUCAAUAAUUUUUUGUUCUCCUCAUCCAAUAUGUUGUUUUCUUCAGACAGUAAGUGGACCUCCUCUUCAGCUCUAGUAAGAUUGAUCCUGAGAUGCUCCUUAUCUUUUUGAAGAUUCUUCACUUUAGCAGCCAGAGAUAAAACUUUCUGAGUUGAUGGUCUCAAGCUGUUCCACAUUUUCAGCAACUUUUGACAUGACUCAUACCCACUGUUGGCCUCCAAAAAAGCAUGACCAAAUUCAACUUCAUCUUUACUGACCAAUGUAGCUAAAAUGGACUCAAGUAAAUGCUGUUCUGUAUCAGUACUCUUAGCCGGUGAAGCAACCCCAUGAUUCGCAUACUCAUGCUUGUAGAACUGCAAUUCCUCGGAUAACUUCCCUAAGACCUCUUCCAACUCACGAACCCUAAAUUCGGCCUCUCUUGCCCUCUCAUCAGCCUCGUUUCCAAAAUCCAUUAAAGCCUCUCUAUCGUUGUCAUAAAGUGAACACUCCCUCUCCCAUUUGUUACACUGAAUCACCAAACUGGCACACUCCGCCGCCAAUCUCUGAUUUUCCUCCACAAACUUCUUCAAAGCCACCGCAUUCAUAUUCGCCUCCGCCUUGGUUCGGUCAAUGAGCUGGUCCUUUUGGCGCAAUUUCCCGAGGAGAAGAAGGUACUGGUCGCGGAGGCGGCAAUGGGCAUCCUCGGAGGCGCGAAGCUUCAACUGGAGAGUGUGUGUAGAGAUUGGGAGGCCUAAUGAAUCGUCAAUUGUUUCUUUUAUGUAAUCGUCCAUUUGUACAGGGAGAUCCAUUCUGUGAUCUUAACUAAGAAACCCUAGAAUUUGAAAAUUCUUUUAUAGCAAAAGCGUGAUCUUUGGAAGCGAAAACCCUAACUGCACUCCACUGUCGCUUUAAUAAAUCAAUAUUUUUUCCAAAAAAAAAAAAAAUGCAGAGAUAAAGAUGAUAUGGGAGUAGUUGAUUAUGUUUCUUAAGUGGAUUUGAGCGAGAGAAUUUCCGGUUAGUAUUUUGGCCGCUUUUUUGUGUUAUUUGUUAUGAUUUUGGUGUUUGGGUAUUCAAAUUGAAGGAAGAGGGCUAG
rnacentral:misc_RNA from 1 species